rnacentral:lncRNA from 1 species
CACUGCACAAUGGAGAUUCUUUGUUUUCGCAGCUAUGUUUACCUCCGCUGGAAGAUGGGAAAAUCAGUCACGGAGAUCUACAGCAAACUCUUCAAUACCGAGCCAAAACACUUCCCUACUCAGCUGAGUGUUUUAAACUGGACUAGGGUAAUAGAGGAUAGUAUUUUCUCUCUGGUCCAGGACGUCCCCGGGAGACUCGGAGCCUCGAUAAAAUCACCCGUAUUCGUGACCUUAUCGACUCUAACCCUCGGUUAAGCACUCAUAAGUUGCAGCAGACGUUUGUCUACCGUAAAAAAUCGUUCAUCGGAUCCUGAAAGGUGAUCUACGGUACAAACAGUUCUCGAGUAUAUCGAUACCCCAUAAAACUCUCGGAGAAGAUCAAGACAAACAGAGUUAAGGGCUGCAAAGACCUCAUCAAGAGGCAUCCGUAGCGUUAAACAACUCCCAUACAGCCCGAACUAAAUCUGAAUGACGGGUUACUGUUCAGAAAGAUCAAACAUAUACUCCGAGAGGCCGAUUUUGACGGACUUGAAUUUGUUCUAUCUGGUUUGCAGCGGGUGAUGAAGAGCUCUUGUACCAACUUAAAAAGUUACUAGACCUCUACCACGACGUAAUAGCACCCGGACGACUAUCUAUGUAAUAUCAAAUAUGAUAAGACAGUAUUCUAGCUUCGAAAUACGAGUAUAUCAUUAAAAGAUGUUGUUUAAUCUAACUCUAAUCACUAUAAUUUUCUCUAUUUAUUUGAUAAAAAAUUAAGAAAAAUGAGCUAUUUUGACACUGCGUUGUCUUAAAACAUUAGUAUUUUCAAAAGAAUUGGACACAAAUGAAUGAAUGAUUUAUAAUUAAAUUUGGGGCAGAGAUUUGAAUGAGUAUCUCCUAUCUUAUCAACAAAUUGGAAAAAUCCGCUACCCCUUAAAUGCUUUAUUUAUUUUUUUGUCUGAAAUUUUUUUUAUCAAGUGGAAAACUUUUAAAAGGAAAUUUAGCCCAAAAUUGAAUAAUUAACUGUUGAAUAAUUCCCUUUAAAUCUUGCAACAGGGGAGAAAUACUUUUUGCACCAAAUUGCGAUAUCCUGAUCUUCCAUUUAUGCAAAAGUUUGGAUAUAUAAUAAGUAGUGGUGAUGUCUUCUUUUAACAAGACUCCUAAAGAUCUUGCCAACUUCAAAUUUGGACGUUAGAACUACCAAUACUAAUUGAAGACGAAAAUUACCGGAAGGAAAUUCUCCUGGAACUGUCACUUCUGUUGGGCCCCUAUAAAAAAACUGUGAUUACGGCACUGGAUGAACAGAAGACAACUAAUUAUAACUAUAAUAUCAGAAUAUAUUUAUAACUAUUCUGUCUUGAAAUGAAAGAAAACAAUUCUGAUCCUCAUUGAAACAAUGUGCUGCGCCACAUUUAUUCCAAUGGACAUUUGAGCAUGGGAAUUUAGACCUUUUUGCUUCUAACAUGAGCUCAAUCAUGGAAUCCUAGACACAAGGAACCAUGCAUCCUACAUAAAUAUAAUAUAAAAGGAGUUAUUGUUGAUCAACAAGGAAAAUAUUACUCAAUUCUAUCCUUAAAUGAGGAAAAAAUGAAAAGAAAAACAUACAGCUUAGCAUAGGAGCAUAUCUGAUUAUUCCUUUGCUCGAUAUUUAUUAGUUUUUUCACCUUCUUAAAGUGCAUAAAAUGAAGAGACCCCAUUUUAAAAAUGAUGCUUCAUAGCCAAAAUGCAAAUGUCCUGUUGAUUUAGACUGUCUCAGUAAUGACACAGAGCAUAAUCAAAUAAUUUAAAAUAAAUUUAUUA